GUCGACUGCAUGGAGGAAGGACAUAUUUAGAUUGUUGCGACUGUAGUGAAUCUUCUACUUGAAAAAGAAUGGUCAUAUUUGGGGUGCAAGAGAUGCUCGAAGAAGGUUGACAAAAUUGGAAGUAAAUUUCACUGCAAGAAAUGUGAUCGCCUUGAUAGUUCUGCCACUCAUAGGUACAAGCUUCGAGUGCAAGUGAUGGAUCACACUGGCUUUAUAUCUUUGUUGCUUUGGGAUCGUGAAGCAAUAAGUCUCAUUGGGAAGUCUGCUA